rnacentral:rRNA from 1 species
GACGAACGCUGGCGGCGUGCCUCAAACAUGCAAGUCGAGGGAGGGUUGCUCGGGGGCUUGCCCCCGGGUUCAACUCUACCGGCGAACGGGUGAGUAACACGUGGGUAACCUGCCCUGAAGACGGGGAUAACCUCGGGAAACCGGGGCUAAUACCCGAUACCCUCACCGGAGGGCAUCCUCUGGUGAGGAAAGGUCCGCAAGGUCCGCUUCAGGAUGGGCCCGCGGCGUAUCAGCUCGUUGGUGAGGUAACGGCUCACCAAGGCGAUGACGCGUAGCU